AUGGCCCCAGGUGGUUUGGUGAAUUCUCACCAAGUUAGAUUGCAGUACCCAGGGAUGCCAUGUGAGGCACUCUUCCUGCAUGAAAAUGGUCUCUGUGUUCGCAGAAACUCACACAAGGACCUUCACGGCAAUCGCCUGAGCUCACAAUUGCCAGCGCAUCUUUGCAGGCAGUGACCUUUCCCACCUUCUAAGGGCUGGAGAGCUGCUGUUCUUCACGCCAUCUAAAUCUGGGGCCCACAGGUCUCCAUCACUACAGGUAUUAAAGAGGUCAGCCCAGAGGGGGCCCAGUUACACAAGCUAAGCCCCAGCUCCUGACCCACAUUUCCUCCCUGUCCCCUCCAGGUUCUGCAGGGAGUCCACACAGGGUGUGAUGUUGAGGCUGCAGGGCAUGUGUGGGUGUGUGAGACUGUGC
rnacentral:lncRNA from 1 species